UACGAAGGUGGCAAGCGUUACUCGGAAUUACUAGGCGUAAAGGGCAUGUAGGCGGUCUGUUUAGUCUGUUGUGAAAGCUCCUUGCUUAACGAGGAGAGGCCAACAGAUACUGGCAGGCUUGAGUAUAGGAGAGGGUACUGGAAUUCCCGGUGUAGCGGUGAAAUGCGCAGAGAUCGGGAGGAACACCAAUGGCGAAAGCAGGUACCUGGACUAUUACUGACGCUCAGCUGCGAAAGCUAGGGGAGCAAACAGG
rnacentral:rRNA from 1 species